GAGUUUGAUUCUGGCUCAGGACAAACGCUGGCGGCGUGCAUAACACAUGCAGGUCGAACGAAAUCUACAUGAUUUAGUGGCGAACGGGUGAGUAACACGUGAGAAACCUGCCUUACACAGAGGGAUAGCCGUUGGAAACGACGAUUAAUACCUCAUGACACCGUGACAUCGCAUGAUGAUGCGGUCAAAGAUUUAUCGGUGUAAGAUGGUCUCGCGCCUGAUUAGCUGGUUGGUGGGGUAACGGCCUACCAAGGCGACGAUCAGUAGCCGAUCUGAGAGGGUGGACGGCCACAUUGGGACUGAGACACGGCCCAAACUCCUACGGGAGGCAGCAGUGGGGAAUUUUGCACAAUGGGGGAAACCCUGAUGCAGCGACGCCGCGUGAACGAAGAAGGCCUUCGGGUUGUAAAGUUCUGUCCCUUGGUGAAGAUAAUGACCGUACCCAGNAAAGCC
rnacentral:rRNA from 1 species